UAUCGGCGAAAGAAAUAGAUUGUUGGAAGACUAAUUAAUUUUUUUUUUAUAUUUUCUGUAGCUAUAGACUGUUUUAGAAUUGUCGCCUUUUUGUCGAGUUCAAUAACUGAGUGAAGCAUGUAAAAUCCUUCUCAGCACCUCUGGUCAUUUGGGAUCUCCCAGCUCAAUGGGAACACCGCAUCUCUUCUUUGAAGUAGUUUGAAUGUACAGCAAAGCAGGGUUAAUGACAUUAAGUUAGCCUGUGUGGUGGAGGUGGCGUGCUGGCAACACAGGUCAUCCGCCGGCGCGUUGAGCGCCGAGAGCUCUGUCGGAUCUGCUGUGUCUUCAUGUGCUGCGGAGCGGAGGAAAGGAGAGGCUGUUCCGUUCAGGUGAACCGCGCGUCGCCACCGAAUUGACUGAUUGAUCAGAGGAAGGAGGAGGAGGGGAGCACUUGGAUGCGAGUCUAAUCUUUAAAACAAAGAACAGGAUCUGCUGCUUGAUGGAGCUCCAGCAGGAAAGGGCCGAACAUUCACUGGACAUGUGGACAUUUGUUGCGGAAUAAUCUUUUUUUUUUAAAUUUCCUAUACAUUUACAUGUUUAUAUAAUUUCAUUUCAUCCAUUCUACCAGCAUACACAGGAGGGUACGAGGGAGCUCAAGAGAAGAGGAAACACCUGGUUGACAGCUGUGCGGGGGGCUAGGGGUGGGAGAGAAAAAUGCUGCCUUCGCAAGAAGCUUCCAAAAUAUACCAUGAAAAUUAUAUGCGCAAUUCCAGGGCUAUCGGGGUCCUGUGGGCCAUAUUCACCAUCUGCUUGGCCAUCAUCAACGUGGUGGUCUUCAUCCAGCCUUACUGGAUUGGCGAUAGCGUCACAAGCCCCCAAGCUGGCCACUUCGGCUUGUUCCACUACUGCGUGGGCACCGGGAACUCCAACCGGGAGCUGUGGUGCCAGGGCAGCUUUUCCGACUUCAGUUCCAUCCCGUCGGGAUCAUUCAAGGCGGCCUCCUUCUUCAUGCUGAUGUCCAUGGUGCUCAUCAUCAGCUCUAUCGGCUGCUUCGCCCUCUUCUUCUUCUGCAACACCGCCACGGUCUACAAGACGUGCGCCUGGAUGCAGUUGCUAUGCGCUGUGUGUCUGGUGCUCAGUUGUAUGAUCUUCCCAAAUGGCUGGGAUGCUGAGGUCAUCAGGGACAUGUGUGGGGAAGACACGGGAAAGUACACCCUGGGCAACUGCUCGGUGCGCUGGGCAUACAUCCUGGCAUUCAUCGGCAUCCUGGAUGCCCUCAUUCUCUCCUUCCUGGCCUUUGUGCUGGGGAACAGGCAGAGUGAUUUGCUGCAGGAGGAGCUGAUGACCAGCAACAAAGAUUGAAAUCCAGGACCCUAAGGCCCUAAGAUUUGGAGUUCAGUGAUUCCACUGAGAACGAAACUUCCUCCCCUCCUCAUCUAACUCCCGUCCUCCCUCCUCCUCCUCUUCUUCUUUCCAAAACUCUUCAGGUUAAAACCUUGGAUCAGGGCAUGGAGACCAAAGCCCAGCAGUUUGUACAGCAGGACUAGAGAGGACUCACCUAACAAAGGCAAACUCUGUUUAAAGAGAUGUACAUCCUGAGGAGAAGUAUGAUGAUCAGCUUGAUUAUGAAGAUUAUGAAGUUCCUGAUGAUGAUGAGAAUCAUUCUUGCAGUAAGCAUAGUCUAUGAAAAUGUAAACAUUUUUAUUGAGUGGGAAAAGGUCAUGUCCAGGUUUAAAAGUAACCUUAUAAAGUGCAUAUGUAAAUACACAGGUGCUACUUCUGACAGGGGGAAACAAAAAGACAAAAAAGACAAAAAGAUGAUUUUGUAUAGCCAGUCUUUUUCAAGCCAGUUUUCAACUUCUUUUUCUACAUGACAAGGUCUGACCCCCAAAAAUAAACAUUUAUGUCAAUGAGAUGUUUUUAUGGCAACAGGGUAAAAAGAGACACUGUUGAACAGUUUUGGCCAGAGAGAAUACAGAAUGCUCCAUCUGUCAAACUGAGGCUGUCAUAGAGUCCUGCAUGGCAGCCAGAGUCACACACCACUUCAUUACCACUGGUGGGGCUGUUUAAAGAAGAAAUCAGAAACCAGGUUGACUAUUAAUAUUGUUUUACUUUACUGUUAUGACUGUAUUUUUUCAUAUUCUUCAGUGUUUUUUUUUUCAUUCGAUAUAAACAUG